rnacentral:rRNA from 1 species
CCUACGGGAGGCAGCAGUGGGGAAUAUUGGACAAUGGGGGCAACCCUGAUCCAGCCAUGCCGCGUGUGUGAAGAAGGCCCUCGGGUUGUAAAGCACUUUCAGUGAGGAAGAACGCUUGGUGGUUAAUACCCAUCAGGAAAGACAUCACUCACAGAAGAAGCACCGGCUAACUCCGUGCCAGCAGCCGCGGUAAUACGGAGGGUGCGAGCGUUAAUCGGAAUUACUGGGCGUAAAGCGCGCGUAGGUGGCUUGAUAAGCCGGUUGUGAAAGCCCCGGGCUCAACCUGGGAACGGCAUCCGGAACUGGCAAGCUAGAGUGCAGGAGAGGAAGGUAGAAUUCCCGGUGUAGCGGUGAAAUGCGUAGAGAUCGGGAGGAAUACCAGUGGCGAAGGCGGCCUUCUGGACUGACACUGACGCUGAGGUGCGAAAGCGUGGGUAGCAAACAGGAUUAGAUACCCUGGUAGUC